CGGCCGUCAUUACUACAAUAGAUACGCAUUCAACAGAGCCCUGGAUAUUGGUUGUUCAUUACAGUGGGAAUGUCUCUAUUUGGAACCAUCAUAACCAGACAUGGAUAGCAACAAGAAAAUGAUCCAACAAAUCAUGGACGAAGAGGCAGCCUGUGAGGACGACGUUCGGGAGCACUUGGCGAUCA